AUAAUUUAAUAUUUUGAAGUUAAAAUAAGUUGUGUUGAAAAUUAUUAAGUUAAGAUGUAUAAAUAAAUUUUAUAAUAGAUUAAUGUAUUAAAAUUUAUAAAUUAGUUAUAAAUCAAUCUAAAACAAUGCAUAAAUGAUAAUAAAUAAUUUAAUAAUAUUUAAUAACUUUUAGUGAUAAAACCCUUCAACUAUUUUUGAAUCGUAAAAAAAAAACUUCAACAAAGUUUUCAACACUAUAAACCCCCAACUUAUAAACCGCUAACAUAUGUCACCUUCCGUCACGGUUUUUUAGACGGAGGGUAACAUAUGUUAACGGAAUUAAAGUUGAGAGUUAUUCCACAGGAUUUUUAGUUGAGGGUUUUUUUUAAGAUUAAUCUUUAGUUGAGGGGUUUAAUUACUAAAAACCCUUUAACUAACUAGCAUGGGUGAAACCACCAAAACGACAUGAAAUUAAAGUUUAAAUUCUCAAAGAAGCCAAAUAAACACCCGAAUCUAUUCUAAUAGUCUUACAUCCAUCUAAUAACUGUUCAGUUUAUCCUAUCAAAUGCAGCAUGUUUAAAAUUAGCACAAAAUGAUAUUGAGUGGUCUUCUCAUGCCUCAUUGUUCUUAAACGAAACAACUUUUAAUUUCGGUUUGGGUAAAAAAAGAACGCUUUAUCACCAUCUAACACUCUAACACUCUUUAUAGGCAAUUUCUAUCAAGCAAUUUUACGCUGCUACAUAACCACCUUCGUUCGGUAGGUUCAAAUGAAACCACAGCCUCAACUGUCACCACAACACGAUCGAAACCCUCACCACAAGGACAAAAACUUUAAUUUUGCAACCAAUAACUUCUACACUAAUUUACCAAAAUUAUACUCUCAACAUAUUUUAUAUGUUUCAUAUAUAUAGACAAUCCGCGCGAAGCGCGGACAUACAACUAGUAUAUAAUAAAGCGUAAGAUCAUAGUUAUUGAUGUCUAAACCGUUGUUUAAAUAUUUUUUUAGAAGAGUGGUCGACAAAUAUCUUAGUUUUGUUUUUUAAACAAGGCCUAAAAUAUGAUCUUACAUUCGUCUGACCAAACAAAAACUUAGUUUAUGGCACACAAAGUUAUUUUCCAACUUAUUUCAUACUUUUUAAUGUAUCACUAAUUUAAAAAAUAUGAUUCAUCUAAUAUACCACUAAUUUUCCAAAUUACUUUUCCAUCUGUUAGAUCGCUGACAAGGAUUGUUUUCCGCCCUAAAUCAAUGCAGACUUCCAAGAUCUCCCUUUUAAUAUCAAUACAAUACUAAAAGUUGAAUAAGAUGAACAUCUAGACUAUCCACGUAGGCAAAUUAAAUCGACCUAUCAGAGUAUUGAAUUAGGCCACAUCACCCAAAUCAACCUAAACGACAUAUUUGCUUCAUCUUCUGCAAAAUCACCUAAGCUUCACCGCCGUUACUUGCCUUCUCUUCUAGACCAGUUCCCUCCUUCCGAUCAUUCUCUCUACCCUCCCCAUCCGCCUCAUUUUCCCACUUGUGUUCUUCCUGCUGGUGUGGCAUUCCAUUCGUCUGGGUUUGUUUCCAGCGACCCUGUGAGUUUCCCACGGAGCUACCCCAUUGUCUUGACGAAGGGUGAUGGAGUGAAAAUAUUUGUUAGAUUGCGUUUCGGGACCGAGUCUACGAGGAUGUUACUGAAGCUUAUCGUUUACCACCCAAUACAUACGCAGACAAGUGUAUCUGUAUCGUCUCUCACGCCCCCAAUUUCCGAGCUCUUUGGGAUUCUCUCGAGGUGAUUUUUGGUCUUUACUUCUCCUCAGAAGGAAGCUGGUAAAAACAUUCAGUGCUUAAAAAUAUGAAAGCAAACCUCCAUUCUUAUGUUUUGAAAUUGAUGUUAGUCGCCUCUUCAAUUUUUUAGUAAGCCAUUGUGGUAUGUUAUCGCUAUGUUUUCAGUCUCUAUUUUUCCUCUGUAUUUGGUAAGAUGCCAAAGGAAUCUUCAGUGACACUCUUGAUCAUAUUUUUUUUGCUUAUUGUUGCAAGUUGGAUUGUAACUUAUAGAUUGCUAAGCUGGUGAAUGAGGGGGAGGUAACUAAGGCUGAGACAAUGACUAUUGGUGAAAUCUUCGAUUACAUCAAGAAAGGAUCCGCCAAGGUAGAACUUGAGCUGUAGAUAUGCCACUCAAAUCAACAUGCUUAACUACGUAUAUCACCCGGUCGUUGACGAACGCAGGAGGUGUUUUCUUUUGUCUAUAACUGUUACCAAAGUUGUCUCUUUCUACCCACCUCUGACAGUCCCACAGGUGAAACCACAUUUGCUGCAACUGCUGAAUUGCCCCUGCUCUCUGCAAAUGUUUUGUCUGCAUCUUCCAAAGGAUGUGGAGACCUUGCUGAUGAGAGAAUGGUGGCUCAAAUAACAGUGGCGAAGCACAGGAAGCCAAAUGUGCUACCCAUGUCAAAUAGGUCUUUCCAGUUCUUAAGUUUUGUUCUGUUAUUGCUCUGUAAGAGGUCCUUUCAUAUCUUAAUUAUUUCGACAUUGCUCAAGUUAGACUUUGGUCUUUUUACUGCUUUGCUUGAUUGUGUGGUUUUAAUUGUUUACUCAUUGUUAGCACGCACCCUUUGACCUAACAAAGAAGAAGAUGAUGAAUGUCAUUCUGGAUCCUAUCGAGGACUCAACAGAGUCACAAGCGGAGAAAACUUAUUCAUUGCUUGGUAUGUGCCGUGAAACUUUGGCUGUUUCAUUUCAAUGGUGUACAUACAUUACUUUGUCUUUACUUAUUUUCACUGCAGCUUUUGAUGGCCUUCAGAGUUCAUUUGCUGGACAGAAAUCAGUGAGUCUUCUAACGUCUUGCUUCUUCUAAACUUUGUUUUUUAGAAACUGCUGUUCUUAUGAUUAUGUGUCUCACAUUUUUUUUUCAGUCGGUGGGUUUAAUCAACCUGACAUUUAUCGGUGAUGAAUCAUGGCCUCAUUUGCAACAAUAUUAGAACAUCAUUAGAAAAUGUGAAAAUGGAGUUUGCUUUCAACAUUUGUAACAGUUCUAUUUUGAUUCAUCAACAAGCUAUUAAGAUUAUACAUCUUAAAGCAUUACUUAAGAAUAAUCAUUAGAUCUAACAUUUUUUAAAUCAUAUAAAAAUGAUAAGUUUUUAAUUAUAAACUUCUCAAAAGAAUAAUUUCACUGGUAAAAGCAUAAACAGUUACUCAUUUAUUUUAUGAUGCAAAUAAAGAUAAAGCAAAAAAAAAAAAAUACAUAUUUUAAAUUUUCAAAAGAUUUGAGUUUAUGCUUGAGAAACAACCUUUUGGUGUAUAUCAUAUUUUCCAAUUAACAAUUAUGGUAUAUAUGCAAACUUUACCCAACUAUAGGAUCUAUCGUCUUUUCAAUGUAAUCAUUUUUUUAUGUUUUAAUUUGAAAGCUUUUAGUCAAAACAAAGAUAUAGUAUCUAUAUUUUGGUUUUAAGUAGAGAGGAAAUGAGUAUAAUGUCCAAAAACAUAGUUGUGUAAAAAUUAAAAGGAAAAACAUGGAGAAAGCUUCAAAAUGUUUCUGAAUAUAAAAGAAUAGUUGAAUCAUAACUAAGUUUAGUUAAAUUUUUAUUUAUAUUCCUUAGUACUUAUCCCAAAUUUACUUCUUAUAUUAACAAUCAAUCUUGAAUUUCAAUAUUGAACUUAAUCGUAUAAAUUACAAUACUUUUGCGACCAUAUUGGUAUUUGGUAAUACAAAUAAUCGCUUCAUUUUUGGAGUUUAAGUUUUUCUAUCUGAUUGAUAUUAGUAGUUUGAUUAAAAAAAAAGGUCGAUCUGUACAUUAUAAUUGGAGAAAGAAAACAAACAAAAAUCAACCGAAGACUUUUAAGGUAUGUGAAACAAAAAUUAGAAAUAGCAAUUCUCUGCAAUUAAAGAAUAAGUCAAUAAAUAAAAAUACAAAAUAAAACAAAAAA